GGUCUAUGAAAAAUCAGUUGAGUUCACUCUGGUUUGUUUCCCUGUAGAACAUAUAAAAGAACUUCAUCUGUCCGUAGAGCUCAGUCGCAGCCCUCAUGCUCUCAAGAAGCUGUUGGAACAAAGGAGGAACAUGAUUCACAAGCAUCCACCUCCACACUGGAUGAUGGACAGAAGGGGGCUUCAGGACAAAAGUCCAAAGGGAUAAACCUGUCCCCCUUGAUCAUGCCUGUGUCUGUCCCAGCCUCUGCGACAAACGUUUUAGGCCCCCAAGCUUCCACACAAGCCAAGAGGUCACAGACUCGUAAAGGUGCAUCUAAGAGGUCUUGUCACCCUUUAAACUUCCUCAUCAUCCCCAGUCCACCUCUGCCUCGUUUAUCUUCCCCAAAAUGCACCGAAAAUAAGGAAACCCAGGGUUUGCAGAGAAGCUGUGGCAUAGGCGUUUACCCCAGCCAGCUGCGCUCGCCAAACUAUCUGGCAGACCACCCGCUGAGCCCUAGUUUUCAUCCCCCUCCAUACACCCCUCAGCCUAUGCUGAGCCCUCUCCGUUCUGGGACAGGCCUCUAUUCUAAAAGCCUACCGCAACAUCAGCCAUGCUCAUCUCUACCCUGCACCUUUGAUGGUGUCUCCUUCCCAAUCGACAACACAGCCAUCAACAUACAGCCG
rnacentral:lncRNA from 1 species